rnacentral:ncRNA from 1 species
GAAAGGUCAUGGUAAAAGAGACAUGACUGGAUGCACAUACCGGCAUCCCAAUUAGG